GAUCAUUACAAAUGUCUGGGAUGUCCAAUCGGGCUCCCAAGCAAACACAUCUCUGUGUACCCUUCCAUGUUGCUUCCCCAGACCAGUGGCCACUGCUACCAGUCCAGUCCUUAGCGGGUUCCUCGAUUGAGGUGUCUGGGGAAGGACCCAAUAUUAAACUUUCCAAUCAAUUAGUUGUCUGAGAAGGCCAUGUGCCGCAAUCYUUAAAACAUGUUAAAACUUUCAACAACGGAUCUCUUGGCUCUCGCAUCGAUGAAGAACGCAGCGAAAUGCGAUAAGUAAUGUGAAUUGCAGAAUUCAGUGAAUCAUCGAAUCUUUGAACGCACAUUGCGCCCUUUGGUAUUCCUUAGGGCAUGCCUGUUCGAGCGUCACUAAAAACCAUCUCACAGCUCUUGUGGUAUUGGUAGAAGUGGGUCGUACUAACAGUACGCUUUCCUACUCUACUGAAAUAAAUAGGCCAGAGAAGUGGAUCAUGGUAACAGACUCUAAGAGUGUUUUCAAAUGCUAAACUAGUCUUACCCAGGUCA
rnacentral:rRNA from 1 species